rnacentral:rRNA from 1 species
UGGGGAAUUUUGGACAAUGGGCGCAAGCCUGAUCCAGCCAUGCCGCGUGCGGGAAGAAGGCCUUCGGGUUGUAACCGCUUUGUCAGGGAAGAAAUCUUCUGGGCUAAUACCUCGGGAGGAUGACGGUACCUGAAGAAUAAGCACCGGCUAACUACGUGCCAGCAGCCGCGGUAAUACGUAGGGUGCGAGCGUUAAUCGGAAUUACUGGGCGUAAAGCGUGCGCAGGCGGUCUUGCAAGACAGGUGUGAAAUCCCCGGGCUUAACCUGGGAACUGCACUUGUGACUGCAAGGCUGGAGUACGGCAGAGGGGGAUGGAAUUCCGCGUGUAGCAGUGAAAUGCGUAGAUAUGCGGAGGAACACCGAUGGCGAAGGCAAUCCCCUGGGCCUGUACUGACGCUCAUGCACGAAAGCGUGGGGAGCAAACAGGAUUAGAUACCCCGGUAGUCCUGGCCCUAAACGAUGAAUGCUUGGUGUGGCGGGUAUCGAUCCCUGCCG